CCUACGGGAGGCAGCAGUGGGGAAUAUUGCACAAUGGGGGGAACCCUGAUGCAGCGACGCCGCGUGGGUGAAGAAGCGCCUCGGCGCGUAAAGCCCUGUCAGCAGGGAAGAAAAUGACGGUACCUGAAGAAGAAGCCCCGGCUAACUACGUGCCAGCAGCCGCGGUAAUCCGUAGGGGGCAAGCGUUAUCCGGAUUUAAUGGGUGUAAAGGGGGCGCAGACGGCGAUGCAAGCCAGGAGUGAAAGCCCGGGGCCCAACCCCGGGACUGCUGUUGAAACUGCGUGGCUGGAGUGCAGGAGGGGCAGGCGGAAUGCCUGGUGUAGCGGUGAAAUGCGUAGAUAUCAGGAGGAACACCGGUGGCGAAGGCGGCCUGCUGGACUGCAACUGACGUUGAGGCCCGAAAGCGGGGGGAGCAAACAGGAUUAGAUACCCGGGUAGUC
rnacentral:rRNA from 1 species